rnacentral:rRNA from 1 species
GACGAACGCUGGCGGCGUGCCUAAUACAUGCAAGUCGAGCGAACAGACGAGGAGCUUGUUCCUCUGACGUUAGCGGCGGACGGGUGAGUAACACGAGGAUAAUCUACUUAUAAGACUGGGAUAACUUCGGGAAACCGGAGCUAAUACCGGAUAAUAUAUUGAACCGCAUGGUUCAUUAGUGAAAGACGGUUUUGCUGUCACUUAUAGAUGGAUCCGCGCCGGAUUAGCUAGUUGGUAAGGUAACGGCUUACCAAGGCAACGAUGCGUAGCCGACGUGAGAGGGGGAUAGGCGACACUGGAGCUGCGACGCGGUCCAGACUCCUACGGGAGGCAGCAGUAGGGAAUCUUCCGCAAUAGGGGGGAGCCUGACGGAGCAGCGCCGCGUGAGUGAUGAAGGUCUUCGGAUCGUAAAGCUCUGUUAUUAGGGAAGAACAAAUGUGGAAGUAACUAUGGACGUCUUGACGGUACCUGGUCAGAAAGCCACGGCUAACUACGUG